CUACAAUUAUACUGCUUUCAAUGUACCUGAUCUCAUCUGAUCUCAAAAGUUAAGCAGAGUCAAGCCUGGUUAGGGCCUCAAUGGAAGGAGAUUGCAAAGA
ensembl:rRNA 5S_rRNA 5S ribosomal RNA